UACAGAGGGGGCAAGCGUUAUUCGGAAUUAUUGGGCGUAAAGGGCGCGUAGGCGGCUUUGCAAGUGACGGGUGAAAUCCCUCGGCUUAACCGAGGAACUGCCUGUCAGACUGCAUGGCUUGAGACCGGGAGAGGUGAGUGGAAUUCCCAGUGUAGCGGUGAAAUGCGUAGAUAUUCGGAAGAACACCAGUGGCGAAGGCGACUUACUGGACACAUAUUGACGCUGAGGUGCGAAAGCGUGGGGAGCAAACAGG
rnacentral:rRNA from 1 species